GGCUCAAUAGCUCAGGGGUAGAGCAGGGGACUCAUAAGCCUCGUGUCGGUGGUUCAAAUCCACCUUGAGCCA
rnacentral:tRNA from 3 species